rnacentral:rRNA from 1 species
GUCUGCGGCCAUGUCACCCUGAACAAGCCCAAAGCAGGAUCGGGCUUGGUUAGUACUUGGAUGGGAGACCACCUAGGAAGACCGGGUGCUGUAGGCA